rnacentral:rRNA from 1 species
GCUGAACGCUUUCUUCUUUCUUAACACAUGCAAGUCGAACGAGAAGUGAAGACGGAAACCUUCGGGCGGAAGGCUUUAUUUCGAGUGGCGGACGGGUGAGUAACGCGUGGGUAACCUGCCUCAUACAGGGGGAUAACAGUUGGAAACGACUGUUAAUACCGCAUAAGACCACAGCACCGCAUGGUGCGGGGGUAAAAACUCCGGUGGUAUGAGAUGGACCCGCGUUCGAUUAGCCAGUUGGCGGGGUAACGGCCCACCAAAGCGACGAUCGAUAGCCGAUCUGAGAGGAUGACCGGCCACAUUGGGACUGAGACACGGCCCAAACUCCUACGGGAGGCAGCAGUGGGGAAUAUUGCACAAUGGGGGAAACCCUGAUGCAGCGACGCCGCGUGAGUGAAGAAGUAUUUCGGUAUGUAAAGCUCUAUCAGCAGGGAAGAAAAUGACGGUACCUGAGUAAGAAGCCCCGGCUAACUACGUG